UACGUAGGGGGCAAGCGUUGUCCGGACUUACUGGGCGUAAAGCGUGCGCAGGCGGUUGUUCAAGACAGAUGUGAAAUCCCCGGGCUUAACCUGGGAACUGCAUUUGUGACUGCACAGCUGGAGUGCGGCAGAGGGGGAUGGAAUUCCGCGUGUAGCAGUGAAAUGCGUAGAUAUGCGGAGGAACACCGAUGGCGAAGGCAAUCCCCUGGGCCUGCACUGACGCUCAUGCACGAAAGCGUGGGGAGCAAACAGG
rnacentral:rRNA from 1 species